CGAGAUCAUAAGUCUGCUAACCGGUGAUCUAUGCUUUUCUCGAGUAUCGAAGUCGCGUUCGGGGUUCCGUAUAGUCGACCAGGUGUUCGGGAAACUGACGACUCGUCGAGUUUUGCAUAUUCAAGCGCUGCACGGGGAAAGAGAGGGCUAGACGGAGAGAGAGGAAGACGAAACAGGGU